rnacentral:pre_miRNA from 4 species
UCUUAUGGAUGAAUAAAUAAAGUGGUUUCUUGAGAUGGAAUCUACUUCUUGUGAAGAUCUUAUGAA